rnacentral:rRNA from 1 species
AGCUGUGCCACCCUGAACGUGCCCGGUCUCACCUGAUCUCGGAAGCUACGCAGGGUUGGGCCUGGUGAGAACUUGGAUGGAAGUGUGUUUUAAAGUUCCAUUUU